GAAGAAGCCCCGGCUAACUUCGUGCCAGCAGCCGCGGUAAUACGAAGGGGGCUAGCGUUGUUCGGAAUUACUGGGCGUAAAGCGCACGUAGGCGGAUCGAUCAGUCAGGGGUGAAAUCCCGCAGCUCAACUGCGGAACUGCCUUUGAUACUGUCGGUCUAGAGUAUGGAAGAGGUGAGUGGAAUUCCGAGUGUAGAGGUGAAAUUCGUAGAUAUUGGGUAGAACACCGGUGGCGAAGGCGGUCAUCUGGCG
rnacentral:rRNA from 13 species